AAUGAUUAAUUUCGCUGCAGAAAUGAGACUUGAGCUGAACCGAGCUGAACACUUUCUCACAGCGACCGGAUCAAACAUACAGCAACUAAUAACUCUAUAGUAGCCUUUAGUUGAGAAGACCCGCUUCUGUCCAUCUUUUAAGUCUAGAAAUCUAUAACUUGAGUUGAUCAGGACGGCGCAUGCUUGGUCAGCGAUGGAGGAAAGCAAGACUGAUCACGUAACCCCGCCCACAACCCCAAACAAAGCCACGCCCUCUCCGCCAAGGUCCGAUGAACGGCCGAUGGGUUUGAGCAGCCCGGAGUUACUAAAAGAACUGAAACAACCGCACGCGCUCAAACACGUCCCGCUCACAAGGGACUGACCACGGUCUUCUGCGGACGAGGACGACAGAAUCAGGAGGAGAGUCAGACAAAAAGCCUGCACUGAGAGGCCGGCGGUCACAGUGACCGUUCGGCGGGGAUUACAGCUGAUUGGCCGUUUGAGCCGCCUGUCAGGGAUAAGCCCCGCCCCCUGGGUGGAGCUGCUCUGGUUAUGAGGAUCUUCCACAUGUUUGUGUGCGAGUGUGAACGCAGUCUGAGGUUUCAGCAGUGUGUGUGUGUCAUGUCAGAUAUGAAAUAAAAUGAUGAUGUGUGUGUGUGUGUGUGUGUGUGUGUGUGUGUGUGUGUGUGAAUUUGAAUUGAAAUUAAUGGAAAAGUCUACUGAAUUGCAUUUGAGAGGAGUUUAACAGUAAUACAGGAGAAGUUUGAUUAGUAGAACAGACCGCUUCUGUAUGUGUGUCACAACCAAUAAACUUCAUCAUAAUUUGGAA